CCACGUGGCAGUCCCAAAUCACAGUCCUCCUGCGUGGGUGCCUCCAGAGGGCAGGCCCACAGCACGCUGCCUCCUCACCACAGACAGAGGAGGUUGGGAGACAUCGGACUUUGGAUUUCAUGUUGGAAAGUGAGAUUUACCCCAUGAGAAGUAAUGCAAGAAGAAGACGGGUGGAGGCAAAAUUUGGUACGGAUAACCCUCCCUGGCCUGGGAGCUAGACUGCUAGCAGAGAAACUCCCAGCUGUAGUCUUGGUGACAAGGGCUUGCCUGGAACAACAAGGCCCAUAUUUUUUUCCAUGGACUAUACAUAGUGUGUUAACAGUUGAGCACCUCCGCGUGUGUGUGUGGGUGUCUGCACAUGCACACACCUCCCCAAAAAGGCCCAGGCAUCACCAUGCUGGGGGCCUGGCACCACCACCGAGUUGUUGGAGAAGCCUUGAAUCCGAGAUUUAAGUUUCCGUGCUACCUGGAUCCUCCCUGCUCUUCUCACCUUCUCCAUUCUGUGUUGUCCAGCCUGUGACCUGUGACCUUGGACUUCUGUCCAACAAUGGGCUGGGGUUCUGAGCCUCAGGGCUGAGAUGCUAAGUGCCACGGUCUCCUGCCUGCAGUGCUCAGUGUGGAAUUUCUGAACAACUGGGCUCCUGUUGCUUCAAGAGAAAAUACCUACCUGCAAGGCCUUUCUUGGAGACGAGAACUUGAAGGGCAGUGUCCACUCUGGAUGAGAGAAAGGCAUCUUGGGGGCGUUUGUCGGACACGCAGACCCUCCGUUCUUCCGGGUGCGCUGGGCCGAGCGCCUGGAAUGCCCAGACUCCUGCCCAGCUGUGGUCGCUGCGUGGAGCCCGGCGCCGGCCCAGCUCGCUCCGGGCGGCGGCGAGGGGAACGACCGCGGGGCCUGUGCCCGCAGGCACUUCAGGGACGCUGCCCGGGGUUUCUCCCCUAGUAACCCAGCCCCUUGUAGGAGGCUCACGGGACACACGUUUCUCCAGCCCUGUGAGUUGGGAAAGGCUUUUGCUAAGGAGCCAGCACAGUCUACUUUUGCAGAGUUCAUUUCGUAACUGAUUGUGGUUUUCUCUUUCUUUGUUCACCAGGGAGCUGAGAGAAAACUUUACGUUCAGCUUUAGGAACUGGGUUGGACUUUGGAGCCCGGACAGCUGACCUGCCUUCAGUUUCCACGCUAUCCUGGCUCUCCCACGGUCUUGAGCUGUGGGAGGCAGAAUUCAAAGAUGCCCCCCAAGAUUUCCCACCUAAAACCCAAGGCCUUGAGUAGCCCUGCGAUGAUGGCACAGUGGAUGGCAGGAGGGUUCACACACGCGGAUGGGACCAGGUCACCAGCGCUGGAUUGUAAUCUGGAGGCCUUCCAGGCAGGCCUAACCUCACCAUGUGGGCCCUUUCACACAGAGAACAGUCUCAAGCUGGGGUGCCGUCACGAGACUCACAGGCGACGGGCAGGCUCUACAUCCCUGGCCUUGGGGUGGAGUGGUCAUGAGGCCUCAAGAACAAAGGCCAUGGGGAAGGCCCUGCACUGUAUUAGGUCCCUCCACUCAGAACUCUGCAACCGUGAUCAAGGGGUUAAAAACGAAGAGCAAGCAAGGCAUCAGCCCAUCAGGUUCCUCCCCACUCCUCUGCUUCCUGUCCUUGGAAGGGUUUCUGAUGGAACUGGCAACACUUUCCUACAGCCUUUGAUUUAAGAUCCUCUCUGUGGCAUAUUUAAAAACAGAUUAAAGACGUACUUGAACUCCCACUGGAUCCACUGUGUUUCUGAGUCGAUUCAGAACAUUUCCCCUCCCCGCUGUGAGCAGGUAUUUAGUUUACUUUCCUAACCUCAACCACAUUGUUCUGACAAAGGAGCCCUGACCAGAUGCUGCCCCUGCAGAAAUUUAAAAAAAC
ensembl:lncRNA